GCCAGCGCAGUGGCGCGUGUCUGUAGUCCCAGCUACUCGGGAGGCUGAGGUGGGAGGAUCGCUUGAGCCCAGGAGUUCUGGCCUGUAGUGCGCUAUGCCGAUUGGGUGUCCGCACUAAGUUCGACGUCAAUAUGGUGACCUCCCAGGAUCGGGAGACCACCAAGUUGCCUAAGGAGGGGUGAACCGGCCCAGGUCGGAAACGCAAUAGGUCAAAACUCCUGUGCUGAUCAGCAGUUGGAUGGUGCCUGUGAAUAACCACUGCACUCCAGCCUGGGCAACAUAGCGAAACCCUGUCUCU
rnacentral:SRP_RNA from 1 species